GAGUUUGAUCCUGGCUCAGAACGAACGCUGGCGGCAGGCUUAACACAUGCAAGUCGAACGCCCCCUUCGGGGGGAGUGGCAGACGGGUGAGUAACACGUGGGAAUCUACCUAUCGGUAAGGAACAACACAUAGAAAUGUGUGCUAAUACCUUAUACGCCCCGAGGGGGAAAGAUUUAUCGCCAUUAGAUUAGCCCGCGUUUGAUUAGCUAGUUGGUGAGGUAAUGGCUCACCAAGGCGUCGAUCAAUAGCUGGUCUGAGAGGAUGAUCAGCCACACUGGGACUGAGACACGGCCCAGACUCCUACGGGAGGCAGCAGUGGGGAAUAUUGCGCAAUGGGGGAAACCCUGACGCAGCCAUGCCGCGUGAGUGAAGAAGGCCUUCGGGUUGUAAAGCUCUUUCAACGGUGACGAUGAUGACGGUAACCGUAGAAGAAGCCCCGGCUAACUUCGUGCCAGCAGCCGCGGUAAUACGAAGGGGGCAAGCGUUGUUCGGACUUACUGGGCGUAAAGCGCACGUAGGCGGAUCGUUAAGUGAGGGGUGAAAUCCCAGGGCUCAACCCUGGAACUGCCUUUCAUACUGGCGAUCUGGAGUUCGAGAGAGGUGAGUGGAAUUCCGAGUGUAGAGGUGAAAUUCGUAGAUAUUCGGAGGAACACCAGUGGCGAAGGCGGCUCACUGGCUCGAUACUGACGCUGAGGUGCGAAAGCGGGGGAGCAAACAGGAUUAGAUCCCCUGGUAGUCCACGCCGUAAACGAUGGAAGCUAGCUGUCGGGCAGUUUACUGUUCGGUGGCGCAGCUAACGCAUUAAGCUUCCCGCCUGGGGAGUACGGCCGCAAGGUUAAAACUCAAAUGAAUUGACGGGGGCCCGCACAAGCGGUGGAGCAUGUGGUUUAAUUCGAUGCAACGCGCAGAACCUUACCAGCCCUUGACAUACCAAUCGCGAUUUCCGGAGACGGAUUUCUUCAGUUCGGCUGGAUUGGAUACAGGUGCUGCAUGGCUGUCGUCAGCUCGUGUCGUGAGAUGUUGGGUUAAGUCCCGCAACGAGCGCAACCCUCGCCUCCAGUUGCCAUCAUUUAGUUGGGAACUCUGGAGGGACUGCCGGUGAUAAGCCGGAGUAAGGUGGGGAUGACGUCAAGUCCUCAUGGCCCUUAUGGGCUGGGCUACACACGUGCUACAAUGGCAGUGACAAUGGGUCGCAACCUCGCGAGGGGAAGCUAAUCUCAAAAAGCUGUCUCAGUUCGGAUUGUUCGCUGCAACUCGAGAGCAUGAAGUUGGAAUCGCUAGUAAUCGUAGAUCAGCACGCUACGGUGAAUACGUUCCCGGGCCUUGUACACACCGCCCGUCACACCAUGGGAGUUGGUUUUACCCGAAGGCAGUGCGCUAACCGUUCGGGCAGCUGACCACGGUAGGCUCAGCGACUGGGGUGAAGUCGUAACAAGGUAGCCCUAGGGGAACCUGGGGCUGGAUCACCUCCUUU
rnacentral:rRNA from 1 species